rnacentral:rRNA from 1 species
AAAGAUCGAAUGAGGAGAUUCAACGUCAGCGAGGCUGGCCUCGGGAUGACGUGCGAUCCCUCCGGUUACUCCGGUAAUCCUGGGGGACGCCGUUGUCUCGCAAGCCGGUGGCGUCGGCGUGCACUUCUCCUCUAGUAGGACGUCGCGACCCGUUGGGUGCCGGUCUAAGGUCCGGGAUGGUAGCCUGUCUCGUCGCUUCGGCGCAUCGAGUCAGACCCCCGGUCGCCAGACGCCGGCUGCCCGGCGGUACUCACACGGUAUCGGGCCGCAAAAUCGAACUGCGUCGGGCCCGUUGCAAGCGCGAUCAGUGUACAAACGGAGGUCGGACCUAGCGCCGUCCCCGUGGCUGGUCAGCUGUUGGUCAACGGUGUUCUCCGACUGGCCAAUUGAACGAGCGAUACCGGUCGGCGACGCUACUGCUUUGGGUAAUCUCAGGACCCGUCUUGAAACACGGACCAAGGAGUCUAACAUGUACGCGAGUCAUUGGGACCGCAUGCCUAAAGGCGAAAUGAAAGUAAAGGUCGGCCCUAGCGCCGGCCGAGGGAGGAUGGCCCGCGUCAAGAUGCGGCUUCGCACUCCCGGGGCGUCUCGCUCUCAUU